GACGAACGCUGGCGGCGUGCUUAACACAUGCAAGUCGAACGAUGAAGCCGGAGCUUGCUCUGGUGAAUUAGUGGCGAACGGGUGAGUAACACGUGAGUAACCUGCCCUUGACUCUGGGAUAACUGCUAGAAAUGGUAGCUAAUACCGGAUACGACCCUCGGAGGCAUCUCCAGGGGGUGGAAAGAAUUUCGGUCAAGGAUGGACUCGCGGCCUAUCAGCUAGUUGGUGAGGUAACGGCUCACCAAGGCGACGACGGGUAGCCGGCCUGGGAGGGUGAACGGCCACACUGGGACUGAGACACGGCCCAGACUCCUACGGGAGGGAGCAGUGGUGAAUAUUGCACAAUGGGCGCAAGCCUGAUGCAGCAACGCCGCGUGAGGGAUGACGGCCUUCGGGUUGUAAACCUCUUUUAGUAGGGAAGAAGCGAAAGGGACGGUACCUGCAGAAAAAGCACCGGCUAACUACGUGCCAGCCGCCGCCGUAA
rnacentral:rRNA from 1 species